GUUGUAUUACCUGGCUUGGGGAGUUAUCAUAUGUGUGUCUAGUACUGGUAACUAACUUCUGUCUCUUAUAUGCUGAUACUCUUUAAUUAGCAAUUAUGUCUUUGUUCCUCUGAGGAACGUAAACACUUGAGUGAAAUAUUCAAGUCAUUUUCCUUUCUUCUUCUAAAUUACCACCUCUGAGACUCCAUACAGAAUCCUUUUCUCAGGUUGCAUUGUAUUAUCUUAAUUUAACUUGUUUGUAAUUCAUCGUGCUCAUUUUUGUUAAUUUUAUUCUGAUGUUGCUGUUUUUAAAUCGUGCAACAAAGUGUUAUCUUUCUGCUGUUUGUGUAACUGCUUUCCAUCUGUCCAUUUUCUAAUUGUUUCUUCCAAUUUAGGGUCAUGGGGGAAAACUUUGUUUUGGACUCUACCUGUAAAUUCUGAUCACAGUUGAGGCAUUCAUCCCUGGUCAACAGACAAGACCAAUUCAGGUGCUCGUCAGGAUGAGUGAUGGGACUAUUAACAGAAGACUCUUCGCCCACUGUUUUUGCUCUUGAGAGGCAACUGAGAGCUCAAGAGUGCCUGCCCCGUGAAUCGAGUGAAUCAUUUCCAGUUUCGGGCCAUUCUUCUGCAAUUUCAGCUGGGGCCGAAGACUUCCCAGAGGGUGGUAAAAGAAUAGGGUUGUCUUCACAUGGGAGCUGGAUGUCAAAAUUGUCUUCAGAAGAGGUAGUGGACAUUAUUUCCACAAGGAAAUUCUCAGUAUUACUCCAGAUGAUCAUACAGGAUAUUUGGUAUGACCAAGUUAGAAUUUCUAAAUGUUGUUUUAUCUGUCUCUUUGUUGCAAACUACCAGCACAGAAGAAAACGAGAAACCUAACAAAUUCCCACCAUCAUGUGUGAUGUAGUGUAACAAAUAUUGGUUCGUGAUCAUUUUCCAGGCAGUAUUAUGCUAUGGAAAGUUGGUUGCUCUUUGCCAGAAAUGUCCUGUUUUACGGAAAUUCAAAAUAUUUGAUGACAGAGCCUAGAUUUGAACCAGCAAUCUCUAUAUUGUGAAUGCGUGAGUCCCCACUGACUGGAGGGUUUUGCAGCAUAAAAUCCAGUUAGAAUGUGUUAUCAGGAGCCAGGGUUCUUGCAAUAGGCAUGGUGCUUAAAAAUGCAUAGUGCUUAAAAAUCACCAACUAUGGCAGAAAAACAAGGAAAAAUGACCACAGCAAGAAUCUCAAAGUAUAGAAUGGACAGAAGUGGAAAACAGAUAACAAAAAGAGAAAUCCCUUCAGACAGGCUGUCCCGAACAUGCUUAAUCUAACACUGCGUUGUGAGGGUGGCUGUCCAGUCCUCUGCUGCAGGGGGCAGAGCGGUGGUUCUGUGGCUAAGGAUCUGGGCCUGUGGCUGGAAGGUUGCUGGUCCAAAUCUUACAGCAGGCAGAGGAAUCCUACUUCGUUGGGCCCCUGAGCAAGGCCCUUAACCCCAACUGCUCCAGGGGCACUGUACAAUGGCUGACCCUGUGCUCCCCAGGCCUCUCUCCCUAUCUAUGUGUCUCACAGAGAGCAAGCUGGGGUAUGUGAAAAGAUGAAUUCCUAAUGCAAGAAAUUAUAUAGGACUGUUAUGAUGUUAUGUUAUGUUAGAUGUGUGAGGAAAAUAGUCAAUGAGAAACAUCGUUGUCAGCAUUUUUGUAAUGAAAUAAAGCCUGACAAAGACACCGC
rnacentral:lncRNA from 1 species